GGUGAGAAAGAGAAGGUGACAAUGGAAGCCCUGAUGGCAAGUAUGAUAAGAAACAUCACCAGCAUAUGGAUAAUAACAUAUUUCUUUUUCACUUAUUUCUUCUUUUUCUACAAAGAACAUUAUCAGCAACGGCCCUUUCUCUGGCAGCUGAAUGGGAUUUUGACAGUGACUUUUUCAGUGGAACUGAGUGUUUGUAUUUCUUAUUUGUGGGCACGGCACAAUUGCCAAGGUAUAUUUUUUAAGGAGGAUUGGAUGAACUGGAUUGUUUGGAGCCUCAUUUUCAUCUUCAUCUCAUUCCUUGGAAUACUUAUGUUCCACAGUGGAUUUCGAUUUUUGUUCUCCCUUCUUAUGCUAUUUAUGCUUUUUAUGAAUUUCACCAAUAUUGAGAAUAUUAUCUUUCUUCUGCCUGCACUAAGGUUAAGUUUAUCCUGGAUUCUGAGUCUCCACAUGUGUAAAUGAUUCAGAAACAUCUGAGGAGUCUCUAAAAGUCAUCUGAAACCAGGAAAAUAAAUCUACUGAAGAGGUGCCCUGAAGCCCCUGAAAACACCAUGGAGAAUGCACAGUGGGAUUUGAAGGACACUCAUGAACAGCUCUUCACUCCUAA